AUGGCGAGGGCCCCGACCAUGGUCGUCCAGGACGACUACAUCGACAUGGACCUCUCCCCCUCCUCGCCCAAAUGCGCGCUCCUCGAGUUCGAGUUCCAGAGCGCUGGUGGCGGAGGUGCUGGUGUGUCCAGGCGCAGGGAGGAGGCUGCCUACGCGUCGCCUGCGGACGAGCUGUUCUACAGGGGCAAGCUCCUGCCGCUCCACCUGCCGCCACGGCUGCAGCUCGUGCAGAAGCUGCUGCAGGAGCAGCAGGUGAACGUGCCGGAGAUCAAGCCGGCGGCGGCGGAGGCGGCGCCGCCUAGUGUGAGCGCGGAGGUGGAGGACGGCGGCGACGGCAAGGUGGGCGCCAAGAGGUAUUCUUGGUCCAAGAGGCUGAAGCUGAUGAAGCGGUGGACGUCGAGGGAGUACAUCAAGUCCCUCUUCCUCGCCAAGGCAGGGGACCUCGGCAUCGUCAAUGGCGGCUGCGGGAGGGAGCGAGCGGGCCUGCUGGACCAAGGCGAGCUCUGCAGCCACCGCAGGUCAUUCUCCGGCAUCAUCCGGCGGGUGCGCCUGGUGGUGGCGACGAAGGCGGCGGCGACGCCGGGGACCUCGCCGCUCUGCUCCUCGUCCGCCUCGUCCUCCUCCUCGUCGACGCCGUCCUGCGGCAACGGGGAGAGGUUCUUCCUCCGGCCGAGGGCGGCGACGAUGCCGGUGCUGAAGCGGAGCAGCAGCGCCGGGUCGGAGGAGGGGGCCAUCCAGGGCGCCAUUGCCCACUGCAAGCGGUCUCACCAGCAGCUGCUGCAGCAGGGGAGGAAGAGCGCCAGCGGCGUGGUGUUCUACUCCGUGGCCAACACCCCCAGGAUCUCCACCUCCGCCGUCGCCGCCGCCGCCGCCAACGAGUCCUCGCAAGAGAGGCAGGAGAUGUGCAGGGGAUGA
rnacentral:rRNA from 1 species